GCCGGGAGCGCCUGCCCCGGCAUCGGCGGCACGCUGUACCGCGCGCACGGGGCCAGCUGGCUCAGCUGCGCCCCGCAGGUGCCGCGCGGCGGCUGCGCCUUGGCCGCGCCGCCCAGGGUCACCAGCAGCAGGACCAGGAGGGCCGCCUGGCCCGUGGUCGCCGCCAUCGUCGUCGUCGCCGGCGGCUCGGUGCGCGCGCUGCGAGCUUGAGAGACGGAAAUGAGUUCCUGUGUGUGUGGUUGGCGGUGUGGUGGUGGUGCGGGAGCGCGUGGUUUUAUAGGUGGGGCGACGGAGGUGGGAGGCGGCGAGUCUUGCGUUGCUCACCUACGCUACGCAGGCAGCGGGCGGUGCUCGGAUCGGCGCCGGGCGGGAGGAGCGGGCCACGGCAAGCGUGUGAGGCACUGAGGCUGACCCGACCCAACUAAUAAGCCCAGCUCGGAGACCCGCUUCGUCCGUUUGAUCAUCGGGACAAAAAAACUUGGUUCAACGUAGAGACAUGUUUGGACCGGUGUCCUUUCACUAUCCGCGCCGAUCCAAUCUUUGACGAAUACCAGCAAACAUGUCUGUGUGUUACAGCAGGAGAAAAAAAAAUCAUCCCUAAUAGGCACUGGCCGAUACCAGUAAAUCCCUUGAAAUCUCCACACAACAAACAAUAUGAUAAGUGACGUUGCGUUAAACGUAAUGGUGGAUGAUUUUUGAAGUGUAUUCAAGGUGCUUUAAAAAAAAGUUAUGGACAUAAUUAAAUUUUUUGGAAAUUAACAUUAAGCCACUUGUUUACAUAAAGCUCAAAUCAUCAAUUUAGUGUACAACAUCGUAUAUUGGUUGGUUAUAUUGUGCAUGAUGUGAAAUAGGAUGACCGUGUACCUAUUGUAACCUUUAGCAUACAAAGUAGCUAGUAGAAAUCAACAUCCGCUAUGGUGCCAAUACUAUCUUUUACGAGAGUAUUAAACUAUCGUAUCUAUUCAAGUUAAAUGGAAUAAAAAAAAUAUGUAAUAGGCAUUUUCAAAAUACCCAAUAUAGAGAAGGUAUUAAUCAAGGUUGCAACAUAUAUUUUAUUUUAAAAAUGAGUAACAUGUAAGAUAAGAGUAUAUUUGAAAUCUACAUAUUCUUUUGAACAAUUAUCAUAUAUAACAUGUUAGAUUUGGAAUUAGGGUUUGAAAGAUAUGAAUAUCCUAAAAAGCAUUUGAAUUAGAAAAAAUAGCAUUUGAAUUAGAAAAAAUGAAAAAGGGGUAGCUGUUUUGAUGUGUUUAAUUUGGGACCGCACUGUAUAUAAACCGAAGUAAACGCCCCAUGUAGCAAAUUGAACUGUUUUUUUGUUUAUGAACGAUAUGAUGGGUAAUUUGUGUUAACUUUGGGAUAGUUCUAAUGACGAACUUGGCAGAAACAAUAACCUUUUUAUUAGUACGCAUAGAUGGGCUAGAAUGGGUUUCAAACAAACAGAAACGGACACUCCCGUCGUUUGCUGGUGCUCGCUUGUGUCCACCCUGGUCCCAAAGACCAGCGACCGCACCAGCCGGGGCUUUGCCUCCAUAAUGACGUGCACCGGCGCAUGCCACCUCUCUUUUUGAGUCAGUCGUUGUGUUAGGAUCUUGCCGGCGGGCCCGCGGCGCCGAUGAUUGGCCGAUCGUGGCCGCCAGACGCCACGUCGGGGUCCGACCACACAAGGGGGAGGAGCGGGGCACGACGAUUACCUCGCCAUGGAGGAAGGGGCGGGGCACAUAUAAAGGAUGGACGCGUUGAUGCGGAGGGAGAGGGUCAUGAACUUCGAAAACAUUUUUCUGUGCAAAUAAAUAUUGAAAAGGUACACAAUUUAUGAAAUGCAUGAAUAUUUUAUAAAGUGUGAGCACUUUUAGAAAAUUCUGAAUACUUUGAAAACCAAUCAAUUUUGAUAAAACGAUAACACUUUCUGAAACAUAUAUUUUAAAUCUAGAACAACAAAUUUAAAGUGCGAACAUUCUUUGAAAAUUAAAAAAAUGGUAACAAAAUUUGAAACCUGAGCAAACGUGUAAAGAAAUGUUUUUGACAUCUAAAAAAUAUCACAAGUUUAGAGAAAUGUACAUGGCAUUUCAAAAAAAUGUAUGUAUAAUGUAAAUAAUAUCCGUGUAAUUCUAACAAAUGUUUCUUCCAUUCAAAAAGAUGCAACAUUUCAAGAAUGUUCAAGAGUUUCAAAACAUGUGCUUGUAACAUUUUUAGAAAGAAGUGUAUACAAUGUAAAAAAGUUAGCGUGACGUAAAUAAUGUGUCAUACCCUUAGAAAAUUAUACCCGACAUGUGUUUGAAAUUUUAUAAAUGUGUAACAAUGUAAAAAAAUGUUUGUAUAGUUUUACAAGAUGUCUGUAUAGUUUUAUAAAUGUCUAUCGUCGUUAAGAAAUAAAAAAAUAUAUUUGAAAAAUAUUACUGUGUAUUCAUUUCUUUAAACAUGUAUCUAAAAAGAUAUAAAUAAAGUAUCAAAAAAUAUUUGUGCUAAAAAUUUGCAAUGUGUACUGACAAUAAUUAGACAUGUGUAAAAUAUAUAAUUGGUUACCGUACAGAAACAAAACAAAAGCGAAAAAAAAGAAAACACUAUGAAGAAAAUCAAGAAAGAAACAAAAGAAAUCAAAAGUAUAACGAGAAAGUAAAACCAGAUAAUGCCAGUGAAAAAAUAAAGCAUAACGAACAAAAAAUCAAAGAAAAAAAAGAAAACAAGACCAGCACGAGAGACUGUGCCAAUGGGCUGGCGCAGUUCAGCGAAUACCGGCUAAAUUCUAUCAACGUUUAAAAUAGACCGGGAUCAAGGAUUUUGGUUUGCUGAUUCCAGGAAUUAAGAGUUCAGAGUUUGAUUUAGCUUCGGCCUAUAUAUAUGAAAGGUUUGUUUUGGAUUUUUUUCCUUUUUCUUUUUGCUAUACUCGAGCGGUCUGGUGUUGUGGUGCACGUUGGCUUCUCCUGCCCAGGAAUCACCUCGCCAACAAGAUCCAAAAUGUCCUAAUAAAGAAAAUAAAAUAAAAAGAACAUGUUUCUGUCAAAAUAGGUAGCACUGUUGGGUAAAAAGACGCACGCCUUCGUUGCUCUCGUGAGGCAGGCGAUUGGGGUUUUCGUUGCCUCCCGUCGCAUAGCCGUCGAGCUGCCUUGUCUUCUGUGGCCUUAGGAUCAUGUAGACGCGAUCGAUCUCGGUCCUUGCUGGGGGGGGGGAGGUGUUUCAUUUUUAGAGUUUGUUUGAGUUUUGAUAGGGUUUGUGUCUUGCUCAGAAAGAUGAGGCGGUGCGUGUUUCUUGGAGAUGGAAUAAGUUUUUCCUCAUAUAGCCCCAGAUGAAAUAAGUUUUUCCUCAUAUAGCCCCCACCCGUUCUGAUGAUGCUUCUAGCAUCGCCGGAGGGUGUAUGAAGAUUUAUCUCGGACGGAUCUCAGGAGAUUCAGUCGACGUUUGACUUUGAUGGAUCCGAUCGGAUCCAUUUUUCGUUCGUCUAAGUUGAUGUGUCGGCAGGUUGGAUUUUUGGUGCUUAGUGUUGUUUUCAUACGGGGCGCUCACUAGCAAAGCCAUUGGGCCAGCCCAUGUAAAGCGAACAGUGAUUGAGCUGCCCAAUCUGAUUUUGCGAUUUUUGCACUCAUAUUUUCCCCUGAAUCUAUCAAUCAUUUUUUCAAAUACCACUCAAUUUUUUUCAGAAUCCACAAACUAUUUUUGCAAAUUUGUGAACAGUUUUUAAUCCACGAACUUUUUCCACAAAAAUCAUGAACUUUUUUCAAAUUCGCAAACACUCUCAAAUCAGUGAACUUUUCUUCAAAUUCACGAGAUUUUUCCAGAUCCAUGAGUUAUUUUUUCAAAUUCUCUAAGACUUAUAAAAUAAGUGAACUUUUUUAAAGUUCACUAAUACUUAUCCAAUCAGUGAAGUUUUUCUAACUCAUGAGUUUUUUUUCAAACCACAAUCUUUUUAUGAAUUCGCAACAAUAAAUUCAUGAACACUUUCCAAAUCAGGGAUGGUUAUUUUCAAAAUUCACAAACGUUUUAUGAAUUCACAAGUUUUAUUUUUCAAAUCCAUGAGUUUUUUGGAAUUUGCAAACUUUUAAAAAAGGGGAGUUUCAUAAAAUUCCAUGAACUUUUAAAAAUGCACCAGUUUUUUUGAAGUCCAUGAUAUGUUUUCGAAUCGUAAUCUUUUCAAAUCCAUGAUAUUUUUUCGAAUUCUUGAUUUUUAUCAAACCCAUGAAACUUUUCUCAAUGUCCAUGAACUGUUUUCAAAUUUGCGAACAUUAUUCAAACCUACAAUUUUGUACGAGUUUUGUUUCAAAUACGCGGCGCUCACUAUCCAAGCCUGCAAGGGUGUGUCUAUAACGGGUUGGCCGGUGUUCCUGGUUUUAAAUGGUAUUGUGUGGUUUUUCAUUUUUCUGUCUUUUCUGUGUCUUCUCUACUGUUUUAGUAUAUUUUCUUUGAUUUAUGAUUUUACUCUUUCCAUUAUUUUAUUCUCCUUUUUUUCAUAUCUUAAUUCAUGAAUAUUUAUUCAGUUUAUGAAUAUUGUAAAACAUGAUUUCCAUUUAAAAUUCACAAAAAAGUAAUAUUCGUGAAUUUUCUUUAAAUUCAUGAAUAUUUCUAUAGUUCACAAAACAAUUACAGCCUAUUUAUUUUAAAAAAUUUGAACCUCUGUUAGAAUUCACUAACAUUGUUUGAAGUCCAUGAAUAUUUUAUAGAUGUCUGAACAUCUUAGAAUAAUCAUAGUUAUUCUGUUUUGCAAUAUUUUUUGAAAUUUUGUGAACAUAGUUUUAGUUAAUGAAUUCUUUCAAACCAAAAAAAUAUGGUAAUCAUAUUUUCGGAGCUAGGAGUGUAGUGAGCAGGGAAAAAAAAGCUAAGUGGGUGAGUGAAGCACGUGCCAUGUUGAGCGAGCGAGAGCUACAUUGACUGGCCCAUGUGAGUGUUACUCCCUCCGUUCUUAAAUACAAGUUUUUUAAGAGUUUUUAUUAGGGGUUUACAUACGGAGCAAAAUGAGCGAAUCUAUAUUCUAAAGUAUGUUUAUAUACAUCCGUAUAUAGUCCACUGAUUGAACCUCUAAAAAAAUUUAUAUUUAAAAACGGGGGAGUAUAAUAAUAAUUCCAUGAUUUUAAUACGGAAUAAGAGCUUCCAAGGGGCUUACGCAACACAAUCAUCAUCGGCUGACACCAAGGCCCAAACGUGUAAGGACAACAUUAGCACACAUGUAACAACUACGGUUUCCUCACGGAACAGCUAUAUUCUUCAAUAACAGCCCAACACGUUAUAUUAACGAGAAACACCGGAGGUGGUGUAUUGGAACAUAGGUGUAGAUACACCUCUACACCUACCAUGAAAUAUAUAUGUUAAUAAUACAUUUCAAAAUGUUACAAAAUUGCAAACAAAAAUUUCGCAUGUACAUUCGGACAUUCUGUGUUCGCACACUAAAUUCACAAGGAAAGAACUUUUUGUGGCAUGUAUAAAAGAGAUAAAAAUAAUAUCUCGUGAAUAGUUGUAAUCAAGCAUCGAAAAUUGUCUUUUAUACACAAGCCACAAAAAAUGUCCCUUUUUACCGAAACAUUAUGCAUGAACAUAUAAUGUCCGGAUGUACGCAUUAGAUUUUUUUUCUUUAAUUUUUUAACAUUUUAAAAUGUGUAUAUUUAAACAAUGGAUGGAUAUACAUCUAUGAGCCAAAAUGAACUUAUCGUCCACCAUAACAUAGCUAAAUUCAAGUGAGCGUUGAUAAAACCAAAAUGAAAGAACCAAUCGCAAUAAUUUGCUAAAGAAAAAGGAGUUAAUACCAUGAAUGAAGGACACCACAGCGAAGCGCGCGUUAGCUUCUCAUCACACUGAUACAGAUGAAAUAACUUGUAUAAGAAUUUUACAAGUUUAAAUCUUAGCGACUUUGGUGUUGCCUUACUGCUCUAGCAUAUUUUAUUUCCUAGUUAGUGUACUUGAUUCGGCCUUGAUAUAUGUCAAACUACAGGAAACGAGUGCGGUGCUACAGAAGCGAAUUGAGCACGGGUCCAAGUAUGAAAACUUUGGCAAGCUCUCCUUGUUCAGUACUUUCAAAUCGUUAUUUUAUAUUUUAUCUUACUCCCUCCAUAUCAUAAUAUAAAAAAAAAUUGACACUAUGAUGGUGUCAAAAAGAUAUCUCAUAUUUUGAUACAAAGGGAGUAUCAUCAAGAUGCAUAAAAUAUGUUGACAUAAAUCGUGUGGAAUAACGGUUGGCAAAUAGUUGGGUAGAUGGAGCACUUAAUCCAUUGAUAUAAUUAUUUGGCGGGUACGAGGUGCCCGGGAUGGACAUAUUGGAAGGUGUCUUCCACUUACAUAUGAGCAUCAUAUACGAAUAAAUUCACUCUCACUUUGUAUGCGCAUCCAUACAAAAAUCGUAUCAACUACAUGCUUGCCAAAAAUAAUGUCAAGCAAAGGCCUACUACAUAUCUGGCGAUUUUACUAUCCACAUGGGUACUAGGUUGGGUGAUUAAAUUCCAAACCAAUGCCAGAUAAGUGCAUUAGCAGUACGCUAUUAUAUUUAAGUGUUGGUGGAGUGUCGAGUAUCUUUGCUUGACUCAACGACUAGGUAAUACUCCUUCCGUCCCGAAAUAAGUGUUUUAACUUUAUAUUAAUUUUAAUAUAAAAUUAUACUAAACUUAAAACAUUUAUUUUGGAACAGAGGAAGUACCUAACUGAAUGGAAGUAUAAUGUGCUAAAUGGGGAAAGCUUUGAACUCUGUCUGGGUCUCUUAUAUGACGAGAAUAAGGCCCUGUUUGGAACCAUAAUAGAUUAUGAUAAUAUGGAUUAUGAAGAUAGAUUAUAUAAUCUGGUUUAUAAAAAUAAUCUAAGUGGACAUGUUUGGAGGCCAGAUUAUAUAAACUGUAAUAAAGGUUUUACAUUGCAUAAUGACCCGUCUGCCCUCUGGUUUUUUUUAAAAAAAAAGAGAAGGAUGGCGGUGGUAGGAAUGUAAUUAUUUCCAACUUUAUAAGGGUAAUGGGUCAUUAGCAAUCCAUAAUCUGAUUUUAGCUGGUAUAGAGUAGCUUAUGAGUUUUUAAUAAUCUAUCCAUCUAGUUUUUAUAAUCUACACCAUAAGUUGUCCUGUUUGGAAACAUAAUAGAUUAUAAAAACUGAAUUAUAUAAUCUGGGUGGUUCCAAACAGGGCCUAACAAAAACUAGAGUUUAUGUGGGUAAAGUGAUACAGCCUAGGCACUGCCAAAUAAAAUCAUGCCCACUUCUUGGAUUGGAGGCCACGGGAAUCUAUUGGUGGUUCUAUCAUGUGAUAGAGUGACUAGUGAUUUUCUAGAUUGAACUGAACUUUUUUUUUACAACAACUGUUUAUUUUAAAAGGUGUUAAGCUUAGGUAGGACUUUUUAACUUAUACUCCCUCCUUCUAAGAUAAGUGAUUUAAUUUUGUAUUGAUGAUAGUAAAAUUAGUAUAAAAUUAAAUCAUUUAUUUUAAAACAGAGAAAAUAUACACUAUCAUGAGCGUUGUAAAGCUUCCUGUGUAUAUUGUACUCACCCUCAUUAUUAAUUCCCUCUUUCUUAAAGCCAAUCUUGUAUGAGAUUCCUAAUGGACCAAGUGAGAGAAAGAAUGAUGACGGCUAAAACUACACAACAGCCCUAAAUGUCGAUCCAUUGAGUGAUAUGUACGAUCUGAAUGUCAGAUAGGAGGGUUGGGAAUGAAUAUCAUAGAUAUGAAGCUGUGUACUUCAUGAACCAUCUUAUCAUCAUCUAUUUAGCAGUACUAGUUGAAUUCCAGUAUUGUAAUAUAAAAGCAUCUACAAUCGAAUUUCUCAUACCCGUCUCAGACACUCGAGCAGGCUGUCCGAUCAAUGAUCGGUCACAAAAACAUAAUCUAAUCGGAUCCCUCAUGUCCGUCUCAAACGCCGGGACCGACCGACAUCCUUUAUAUCAAUCUCAAAUACGAGGACGAUAUAAGGGAUAGUGGACACCUUCAAUCAGUGCGCCACAUAGGACGCGACCCCAUUCGAACCAUUUUAUUAUUAUUAUUAAUUCUUUUUUCUCUCUUUUCUUCUUCAUUAAUCACGUGCAAAGUGAUUGGACAUAUAAGAAAUAAUAUGAGAAGUACGACUGCACGAACGAAAAUGUAAGGGCUUAAAACGGACACGCCCGGUCAGCGUCCGCGAACGUUUGAGGGGUCAGAUUUGCCAAGUCUGACUGUAGAUGCUCUAAGAGCAUCUCCAAAGCUUACUGUUAGAGCAUAUAUCUUCAUAUGUGAUUUUGGUAAUUGAUGACAAUUCCUAUGGACUAAUGGUUGCCUUAAGUUAUAUUUAUAGGAUUUGUCCAUAGGCACUUCUUGAAGUCCAUCUGUUGGGUUCAAGGAGUUUAUAUGAUGACCAAGGUGGUAUUCAAGGUAUUAUCCAAAGAAUGGUCAUAGAGACACAAGGUUGAUCAAGAUCUCAGACAAAGAGUAAAUCAAGAUGAUCAACACACAAAGCGUACAAGAUGUACCGAGAAGGAUCAAGUGAUCCCAUGGUAUGGUAAGCAUUGUCCAUUACGUGUUUGUGUACUAACCCAUGGUCUUCGUGAGAGUUCUAUAUGGGGGUUAGGUGUGUUUCCAUGGGCUUGCGUCAAAGAGAAGAUCUCAUACAACCCAUGAAGUAUGACGUCAAGUUGUGAUCGACAUCAAGAUUGCGAUGUGCAAGUUCAAGUGGAUCAGCACAAAGAUAUCAUGCUUGAAGCUUGCUGUCCAUUGACAAAGAGUAAAUUAAGAUGAUCGACACACAAAGCGUACAAGAUGUACCGAGAGGGAUCAAGUGAUCCCAUGGUAUGGUAAGCAUUGUCCAUUACGUGUUUGUGUACUAACCGAUGGUCUUCGUGAGAGUUCUAUGUGGGGGUUAGGUGUGUUUCCAUGGGCUUGCGUCAAAGAGAAGAUAUCAUACAACCCAUGAAGUACGACGUCAAGUUGUGAUCGUCAUCAAGAUUGCGAUGUGCAAGUUCAAGUGGAUCAGCACGAAGAUAUCAUACUUGAAGCUUGCUGUCCAUUGUGGUGGUAAUGGACUUGUGAAGAUAUGCUGAAGAGUGGCUCAUCCAUAGUGAGUAUGGGGGAGCAAUCAACUAGUCUUCAUCAAGCCAACGCAAUCAAGAAAGGUGGUCCAUCUUGAGGAAGCCAAGAUCAUCAUCAUCUACCUCAAGAGGACGAGGUGCAAGGUAUAGGUUUGCCCUUGAUAGGUUUUCUGGUUAGGAUAGAUUGCUGUACUAUCAAGGGGGGCUCUCAAGUGAGUAGUUUGAUCGUAUCGUUCGUUGAGAGCUCAAACCAUUUGCAUCCUUGCAUCAUACUUCUUGGUUCUUGUUUGGUGUUUCUCUUUGUGAGUUUUAGAGCUUAUGGUCAUCUUCGUGACAAGCUCGAGUUCAUCGAAAACGGAGUCCAUAUGCAUCUACUAUGAUGUUUUCGAUGUUGGAGUUUUUGUCGGUUCUUCAUUCAUAGAGAUCUCACAUCUCUAUAUCAUUGGCAUUUUCAUAUCUGCAUGGUCUUAAGAUUUCGACAUGGCUGUUUGGAUAGCUCUUGUCGUCCUGAAUCCAACAAGCUUGGGUUUGCUCGAUUCAGAGCUCGUAUGCGAAAGUUAUGGUUGUUUCAGUGUCGAGCGAUAGUACCGCUGGACCUAGCGGUAGUACCGCUAGAGUUGGCGGUAGUACCGCUGGCCCUAGCGGUAGUACCGCCCCUGGUCAGCGGUAGUACCGCUCCAGGAGCUUAGUACCGCCUGCUUAGCGGUUGUUCGUGGACGGACCUUUUUGCGAAGACUUUCUUGGCGGUGGUAGUGCCUUUGCACUACCAGGGCCCAACGGUAGUACCGCUGGAGUGCCAGCGGUAGUACCGCUGGAGCUCGGGCAGAGAGUGGGGGUAACGGUCUGAUUCCUUCCCCCACUAUAUAAAGGGGGUCUUCUUCCCCCUUGGCCUUAUCCAUCCGUUGAGCUCUUGUUCUACCUCCAUUAUUGACAUUCUUAGAGCUUGCUUACUCUCAAUCCCUCCAAUGAUUCUUGCUUGUUCUUGAGGGAAAAGAGAGAGGAGAUCUAGAUCCACAUCUCCACCAAUCACUUUCUCCUCUAUGUGAGGGGAACCCAUUGGAUCUUGAUCUUGGAGUUCUUUGUGAGCUCCUUGUUCUUCCUCUCAUAUUUCUCCAUAGCUUUCGUUGUUGUGGAGGGAUUUGAGUGUGAGGGACUUGACCACAUCGUGUGUUCUUGCCAUUGCAUUAGUUGCAUCGGUUUGAGUUCUCCACGGUGAUACGUGGAAGUGAAGUUUGAGAAGCUUAUUACCUUUGGUACUUAGUACCCUAGAUAUUGUUCUUCGCGGAUGAUUUGGAGUCCUAGAAGCUUGGUGGUGUCUUGGAGCUCAAUCAUUGUGGUGUGAAGCUCCGGGCAAGCGUUGGGGUCUCCAAUUAGGUUGUGGAGAUUGCCCCGAGCAAUUUGUACGGGUACCGGUAACCGCCCCCAAGGGUUGCCACGUGUACGGGUUCGGUGACCGCCCCCAAGGUUUGCCAUUUGUACGGGUUCGGUGACCGCCCUCAAGGGUCCCUUAGUGGAAUCACGGCAUCUUGCAUUGUGCGAGGGCGUGAGAAGAUUACGGUGGCCUUACUAGCAUCUUGGGGAGCAUUGUGCCUCCACACCGCUCUAACGGAGAUUAGCAUCCGCAAGGGUGUGAACUUCGGGAUACAUCAUCGUCUCCCCGUGCCUCGGUUAUCUCUUACCCGAACCCUUUACUUAUGCACUUUACUUUGUGACAGACAUAUUGUUUAUUGUAAUAUAUCUUGCUAUCACUUAGUUGUUUAUCUUGCUUAGCAUAAGUUGUUGGUGCACAUAGGUGAGCCUAGUUGUUUGUAGGUUUUGUGCUUGACAUAUUAAACGUUAGUUUUAUUCCGCAUUUGUUCAAGCCUAAACCUUAAUUAUUUUAAAGCGCCUAUUCACCCCCCCUCUAGGCGACAUCCACGUCCUUUCACUUACCCGUAAACUGGAUGCUGCAUCCGUCCGUGGACAAGGUGACUAGUCCAUGAACACGGAUAUGGGAGGCAGUUAUCCAAAGCUAGUCACUAUAUGCCCGCCAAUAAAGCACAGUUUGAAAUUCAAAUACGUCCGAACAUACCAUGCGUCGAAUCACGCCAACACCGGAUCACAUCAUCGGUCGAUCACAACCAAGACAAGCAUGCUUAGUUUUUACAUGUCGUGGUCGUGAAAGAGUAUUAUACGACAAUUCUUCAAUUAUAGUCUCCAUGCCCAAUCCGCCGUCGCCACUGUGGAGGCCGCCUUUGUCCCAGCAGUGACAUCGACAAUGUAGGGCACUUGCCUGGUCGCGGAUGUCCAGGACAUCCUACCCAUCUUCUUGGCGGCGUAGUAGUCAGUAGCCUUGUAAUGCCCUGGCCAUGGCGGCGUCCACAAGGUCGGCGAGGGCGACAUGGCACAAUCUCAACGUUCACGACCAGCAUGCCCACCGACACGUCUGCCACCACCACACCUCCGUUGGCCUUCUGCUUCUUGAGUGUCUCCCCCUUUGUGGCGUUCGCUUUGACACGAUGAUUUUGCCGUGUCGUCGAAGUUGAUCUUCCGUGCGAGCGUGUAGCUUGGAUCCUCCACCACCAUCAUCUCUGACAGGGUCUCCUCUGGCUCCAUGCACCGACGAUGACAAGGAGGGAAGAAGAGAUUGCGGAAAAAUGGCUCGAACUGGGUGAAGAGCAGCUGGAGGGAAGAAGAGAGCGAAGGAUUCUUCUGCAGAAACAGUGAGGCUAGCUUGAAAAGCGCAGACUCCGUCUGAGUUCGACGUUGGAUGGCUCGCGGGUCCAGACAACUGAGUCGAGAUGGAUACAAGUGGUUUGAGGGUCUUUGUUAGAGAUGUCCUAAAUGACUAUAUAUGUAGUUAUUUUCCUGUUGCAAAUUCGUGACAUGGAUUAUUAUUUGAUAAAAAUGAAUUCUGUUAAGAAAUAAUUCAAGGACUAGUGUAAUUAUCUAAAUUAGUAAUGACACGGGUCGUCACAACACUCCUCGACAAACGGCAAAAUUAACGAAUUUGACUCAUGGACGAAAGUAUUUCACAAACUGGACCACGUUCAAAAAAAUUCAUUCAGGUGAUCCUUCUAUGUGGCGCUCGACAGUGAGAUGCUUUAGGCGUCACACUGUUUUGUGUGGUGCCUAUGACUUAGACGCCACACAACCUAGUGUUAGGCGUCACAAAUUGCAGUGUGUCGUCUAAGCCAAAUAUGUCAAAAAAAAGUCAAACGGGUAAAAUCUUUUCAAACGCGGUUCAAUUUAUAAAAUACUUUCGUUUUUUGUGUCAAAAUUUUCCAUUUUGCCCCCACCAUCACGUCCGUCGGCACCACACCCUUGGCUGGCGUUUUGCUUCUUGAGCGUUUCCGUCUUUGCGGCCUUCGCUUUGAUGCGACAAUCUUUCCGUGUCGGUGAGUUGAUCCUCCGGGCGAGCAAUUAUACAUGUCACGAGUAAACAAUAGCAAUGGCGUGGGACCAGUGUUUUGAGAUCUCAAGGGGAGAUUUGGGAGCUGUGGUGGCUUCCUCCUUUCGGGCAGCCAUGACAUGACCCCCUGCUCAGCACUCUCCAAGUCGACGAUGCGACCUUGGAUCUGCUGCCAUCCUUUGCGAUGUUCGAAGCGGCCCUUUCAGGCAUCGGAUUUCAAAGUCCUAGGAGCGGCAGUCGUAUGCUGCUUCCGUUCCUCGCCAGCAUCCUCAAAGACACGCGCACGUUUUCGCCCUCGUUAACAAGUUGUUGAAGCUGGUUCCGUACGUCGUUGGCAGUGAAAACUCAGCUCCUGGUCCUAAGGUACAGUUCCUAGCCCUACUUGGGAACUGUGCCGUGGAAAUGAAAAAUGCAAGGCGUGGCUGCCUGCAAAACGCCGGGCAGUUCGCCGCCCUAGCAAAAAGGCGACGUACCAUGUUGUCCAAGCAAUCAAAAUCAGGUCACCCUCCCUUUACUGCUGCCGGCGUCAGUGUCAGCUAGCCAGAUAGUGAAUUCAGAACACACAUGGACAGGGAGUACUUGCUUUCAAUCAAAGAAAAGAACAUGGAGAAGUACUACGUACGUGCUCAACUGAUUAAUGUUGAAGUCGAUCGAACUUUCACCGGUAGGAGGAAUAAUGCACCGUGGUAUUACUACUCAGAAUUACACUCACCAGCCAUGCAAUUAAUUAACCUGCAUUUUCCAACAGAUUAGGAUAGUACUAGUAACUUGUAUGAGCCGCCUCAGAAAAAUACUAUGCAAGCACUGCUCAUGCAUGUAUAUUCAGCACACUGGUAUUAUCGCUUGAAACAAAACAAAACAAGACAAAACAAGACAAAAAAUCUCAUUGUCCUCACUCCACGUGCAUCGAGAUCUCUCUUACUUAUGAGCCACACAAUAGAAAUGCAAGAUAUCUUGCCAAAGUACUAGUAAUAGAAAUAUAGCAGAUAAUUACAACAUAUAGGAGUAGUUUGCAUGAUACAGGUUCCACUCGUUCGUGAUCAACUACCAGCAAACAUGGAGGUAGAACCACCGCUAACAAUUUUCCCCGAUCUAGUCGAUCGUGAACGCUCGGUAAUUACUGGAUCCGACGCCAUUGCCUGCAAUGGUGUAUGGCAUGCAUGACCGCCCUUCAGGCUUCAGCAUGCAUGUGUGUCUUGAUCAAGGCAGGUGUGUGCAGUCCUAGCACGCUGGAGGUCUGGAGGUCGAUAAAAUGGGUAAUGGGUAAUGAUCAGUUCUGAGGGCAGAAGGGCGUGCCGGGCUUCUCCCUGUGGCUGGGGAUGACGAAGUGCCGGAUCCUGCCGACCUGCUCGGCGAGGUAGGCUUCGCAGAGGAAGGCCUUGGAGAAGCUGUCCUCCACCGCCCGGUCCACGUCGUGCACGAACACGUCCGUGGCGCCGUCGCCGGGCCGCCGCGCGCGGGCCGCCAUGCCGGCCGUGUAGAUGGCGCCCAUCCUCCCGGGCGCCUCGGGCGUCCACCCCGUGGGCGCGUCCACCAUGAUGAGGUCCCACUCGGUCUCGUGGAACACGGCGGGGAGGCCGCGCAGCGCCAGCCGGCACGAGGCCUCGGCGGCGGCG
rnacentral:lncRNA from 1 species